UACGUAGGUGCCAAGCGUUGUCCGGAUUUACUGGGCGUAAAGAGCGCGCAGGCGGUCGAUCAAGUCGAGUGUGAAAGCCCCCGGCUCAACUGGGGAGGGUCAUUCGAUACUGAUCGACUCGAAGGCAGGAGAGGGUAGUGGAAUUCCAGGUGUAGUGGUGAAAUGCGUAGAUAUCGGGAGGAACACCAGUGGCGAAGGCGACUACCUGGCGUGUUAUUGACGCUGAGGCGCGAAAGCUAGGGGAGCAAACGGG
rnacentral:rRNA from 1 species